rfam:Zika virus strain MR 766, complete genome.
GUGGGAAAGACCAGAGACUCCAUGAGUUUCCACCACGCUGGCCGCCAGGCACAGAUCGCCGAACUUCGGCGGCCGGUGUGGGGAAAUCCAUGGUUUCU